rnacentral:rRNA from 1 species
GGGACAGCCUCGGGAAACCGUGGGUAAUACCGGAUACUCCGGGACGGCCGCAUGGCCGGCCCGGGAAAGCCCAGACGGGAGGGGAUGGGCCCGCGGCCUGUUAGCUAGUCGGCGGGGUAACGGCCCACCGAGGCGAUUAUGGGUAGCCGGGUUGAGAGACCGACCGGCCAGAUUGGGACUGAGACACGGCCCAGACUCCUACGGGAGGCAGCAGUGGGGAAUCUUGCGCAAUGGGCGGAAGCCUGACGCAGCGACGCCGCGUGCGGGACGAAGGCCUUCGGGUCGUAAACCGCUUUCAGCAGGGACGAGGCCCUCACGGUGACGGUACCUGCAGAAGAAGCCCCGGCUAACUACGUGCCAGCAGCCGCGGUAAUACGUAGGGGGCGAGCGUUAUCCGGAUUCAUUGGGCGUAAAGCGCGCGUAGGCGGCCUGUUAGGUCGGGGGUCAAAUACCGGGGCUCAACCCCGGUCCGCCCCCGAUACCGGCAGGCUUGAGUCUGGUAGGGGAAGGCGGAAUUCCCAGUGUAGCGGUGGAAUGCGCAGAUAUUGGGAAGAACACCGGCGGCGAAGGCGGCCUUCUGGGCCACGACUGACGCUGAGGCGCGAAAGCUAGGGGAGCGAACAGGAUUAGAUACCCUGGUAGUCCUAGCCGUAAACGAUGGACGCUAGGUGUGGGGG